rnacentral:rRNA from 1 species
ACUCCUACGGGAGGCAGCAGUGGGGAAUAUUGCACAAUGGGCGCAAGCCUGAUGCAGCCAUGCCGCGUGUGGUUGGAAGAAGGCCUUCGGGUUGUAAAGCCACUUUCAGUUCGUGAGGAAGGUAAGGGUAGUUUUAAAACAGGCCUUGGCCAAUAUUUUUUGAACGGUUUAAGCGGACCGAAAAGGAAAGGAACCCGGGGCCUAACUCCAGUGCCAGCAGCCGCGGUAAUACGGAGGGUGCGAGCGUUAAUCGGAAUU